rnacentral:siRNA from 1 species
ACCACCCAAAAUGUAGAGAUUCCA